rnacentral:rRNA from 1 species
GACGUAGGGGGCAAGCGUUGUCCGGAAUCAUUGGGCGUAAAGCGCGUGUAGGCGGCUCGAUAAGUCUGCUGUGAAAGUCCAGGGCUCAACCCUGGAAGGCCGGUGGAAACUGUCGGGCUAGAGUCCGGAAGAGGCGAGUGGAAUUCCCGGUGUAGCGGUGAAAUGCGCAGAUAUCGGGAGGAACACCAAUGGCGAAGGCAGCUCGCUGGGACGGUACUGACGCUGAGACGCGAAAGCGUGGGGAGCAAACAGG